UACGUAGGGUGCGAGCGUGUCCGGAAUUAUUGGGCGUAAAGAGCUCGUAGGCGGUCUGUCGCGUCUGCUGUGAAAUCCCCGAGGCUCAACCUCGGGCCGCAGUGGGUACGGGCAGACUAGAGUGCGGUAGGGGAGAUUGGAAUUCCUGGUAUAGCGGUGGAAUGCGCAGAUAUCAGGAGGAACACCGAUGGCGAAGGCAGAUCUCUGGGCCGUAACUGACGCUGAGGAGCGAAAGCGUGGGGAGCGAACAGGG
rnacentral:rRNA from 1 species